AUUGGGCGUAAAGAGUUGCGUAGGUGGUUUAUUAAGUGAAUAGUGAAAGCUAGCGGCUCAACCGUAUAGAUUAUUAUUCAAACUGGUAAACUCGAGAGCAGCAGAGGUAACUGGAAUUUCUGAAGUAGGGGUAAUAUCCGUAGAUAUCAGAAGGAACACCAAUGGCGUAGGCAGGUUACUGGGCUGUUUCUGACACUGAGGCACGAAAGCGUGGGGAGCGAACCGGAUUAGAUACCCGGGUAGUCCACGCCGUAAACGAUGGAUACUAGCUGUGGGGGGUAUCGACCCCUUCCGUAGCGAAGCUAACGCGUUAAGUAUCCCGCCUGUGGAGUACGGUCGCAAGACUAAAA
rnacentral:rRNA from 1 species